rnacentral:rRNA from 1 species
UACGAAGGUGCAAGCGUUACUCGGAAUUACUGGCGUAAAGCGUGCGUAGGUGGUUCGUUAAGUCUGUCGUGAAGCCCGGGCUCAACCUGGAAUGGCGAUGGAUACUGGCGGGCUAGAGUGCGGUAGAGGAGAGUGGAAUUCCCGGUGUAGCAGUGAAAUGCGUAGAGAUCGGGAGGAACAUCAGUUGCGAAGGCGGCUCUCUGGACAGCACUGACACUGAGGCACGAAAGCGUGGGAGCAAACAGG